GUGCAGGGAAGCAAGACCAAUCUAAAAGCCCUGAGGCAAGAGGACUGCAUAUUCAAGCUACACUAAGAUGACAAACUGAACUGCAGUGAGAGAAAAAAAUGAACUUCGAUUGAACCCAGGACCUCAUGCACUCUACCACUGAGUCACAUCCCAGGUAUUCUUGAUUUUUUCAAUAAUGGCAAAUACAUUUCUUCAAAACAUGGCACAAGUCAACAAUGAUUGAGAGGACCAAACAAACAAGACUAUAAGCCAAACUGGUAUCACCAGAUCUUGUAGAACCUCUAAGACAGAGUGGGAUAGGAGAAGAUUUAAACAGAGAUGGAUGCUCCUGAAGAUUUAAACAGGGAUGACAAGUAACUACAGCCUGACAAGGCACAGUGACCAUUUUGUUCACUUCUGAGAAAGUAACUCAAAUUUAACUGAUCUCAGCAAAUGUUUAGUAAUGAAGUAAAAACUGGAAUUUUCUGAAAAUUAGUGUCAUGACAGUAGAUAAGAAAACUAAUUUGCUCUUCUACCAGUUUUUAGUUUUGCUCACUCUCAGCUGCUAGCUAGCACAUGCUGUCCAGCAGUCUGUCUAUGCUACCUAGUGUCCUUUCUUUGGCUAUAUAACUGGCUGCAACUCACCAAUGACCACUAUAAGCAACUAUCAGCUGUCAUUUGGCUAAGGCAAUGAAAUUAAAUAAAAUGAAUGCUCACAGUGAA